GCUAGCCUCUGAUCCAACAUUUUUCCUGGAUAAACAAACACAUCAGGUUGUCUGCUUGUUUUCACAUCAUUGCCAUGUUCCAGUUUAAUCUCAACCGAUGGGGAAUCAGAUCCAUAAAAGACCACCACCUGUUUUUGCAAGUUCUCUGGCAUCAAAAUGUGUUGGCUGACUUUAUUCUGCAAUGAAGUGAACUUAGAAGGUGACGCCACUUCUGACAUCAGCUGAGUAUCACUCGUCUUAGAAAGAGU
rnacentral:misc_RNA from 1 species